ensembl:ncRNA F55F1.8 ncRNA
CUGGACGACACACGGCAAAAGGACCUUAUGAGAGGUGAGGUGGACAAGGCAAGGUUUCGGUGAAGAGGAAAUGGUGGUGGCAUACGCCGUCAAUUGAUGAGAGAGGGGGGAAAGGACUGGUCACCUGGGCACGCCACACCUUGUCCAAUUCGCACCUCACCUGUCGACGGGCUUCUUAUACAUAGA